rnacentral:tRNA from 1 species
AGAAGUUUAGGCUAAACUAGACCAAGGACCUUCAAAGCCCUAAGUAAGUGCUACCCACUUAACUUCUG